CCUACGGGUGGCAGCAGUGGGGAAUAUUGGGCAAUGGCGGCAACUCUGACCCUGCAACGCCGCGUGAAUGAUGAAGGUCCUCGGAUUGUUAAGCUCCUUUAAGGGGGAUGAACACAAUGACGGUACCCCAAUAGCACGCCUCGGCUAACUACGGGCCAGCAGCCGCGGCAAUACGUAGGUGGCAAGCGUUAUCCGGAAUGACUGGGCGUAAAGGGUGCGUAGGUGGUUUAGUAAGUUGGCGGUGUAAUUCCGGGGCUCAACCUCGGCGCUACCGCCAAAACUAUUAGACUUGAGUGCAUGAGGGGUAAGUGGAAUGCGUGGUGUAGCGGUGGAAUGCGUAGAUAUCAGGAGGAACAUCAGGGGCGAAGGCGACUUACUGGACUGUAACUGACACUGAGGCACGAAAGCGUGGGGAGCGAACAGGAUUAGAUACCCUGGUAGUC
rnacentral:rRNA from 1 species